rnacentral:lncRNA from 1 species
CCAGUAGCGGAGCUAGGGGGUGGCCAGGCAGGGCCAUGGCCCACCCCAAAAAAUUGGAAAUUACCUGGAUACUCUAUACAUAUAUAAAAUUAUGAGUAUAUGCUACAUAUAUGUUGGACGCGAUAAAAUUGAAGACAAUUUAAGUUGGCCGAGUGGUUAAGUGGUAUGUGGGUAUUAAAUUGGCUUGAGUUCUAGUCCUUGCAAUAACAUUUGUUUUUAAUUUAUCUGUUUUGAUGAUUUUUUUAGUUUUCUGU